UCAGGAUGAACGCUGGCGGCGUGCCUAAUACAUGCAAGUCGAACGCACAGCGAAAGGUGCUUGCACCUUUCAAGUGAGUGGCGAACGGGUGAGUAACACGUGGACAACCUGCCUCAAGGCUGGGGAUAACAUUUGGAAACAGAUGCUAAUACCGAAUGAAACUUAGUGUCGCAUGAUACGAAGUUAAAAGGCGCUUUGGCGUCACCUAGAGAUGGAUCCGCGGUGCAUUAGUUAGUUGGUGGGGUAAAGGCCUACCAAGACAAUGAUGCAUAGCCGAGUUGAGAGACUGAUCGGCCACAUUGGGACUGAGACACGGCCCAAACUCCUACGGGAGGCUGCAGUAGGGAAUCUUCCACAAUGGGCGAAAGCCUGAUGGAGCAACGCCGCGUGUGUGAUGAAGGCUUUCGGGUCGUAAAGCACUGUUGUAUGGGAAGAACAGCUAGAAUAGGGAAUGAUUUUAGUUUGACGGUACCAUACCAGAAAGGGACGGCUAAAUACGUGCCAGCAGCCGCGGUAAUACGUAUGUCCCGAGCGUUAUCCGGAUUUAUUGGGCGUAAAGCGAGCGCAGACGGUUGAUUAAGUCUGAUGUGAAAGCCCGGAGCUCAACUCCGGAAUGGCAUUGGAAACUGGUUAACUUGAGUGCAGUAGAGGUAAGUGGAACUCCAUGUGUAGCGGUGGAAUGCGUAGAUAUAUGGAAGAACACCAGUGGCGAAGGCGGCUUACUGGACUGUAACUGACGUUGAGGCUCGAAAGUGUGGGUAGCAAACAGGAUUAGAUACCCUGGUAGUCCACACCGUAAACGAUGAACACUAGGUGUUAGGAGGUUUCCGCCUCUUAGUGCCGAAGCUAACGCAUUAAGUGUUCCGCCUGGGGAGUACGACCGCAAGGUUGAAACUCAAAGGAAUUGACGGGGACCCGCACAAGCGGUGGAGCAUGUGGUUUAAUUCGAAGCAACGCGAAGAACCUUACCAGGUCUUGACAUCCUUUGAAGCUUUUAGAGAUAGAAGUGUUCUCU
rnacentral:rRNA from 1 species